AACGAACGCUGGCGGCAUGCCUAACACAUGCAAGUCGAACGAGACCUUCGGGUCUAGUGGCGCACGGGUGCGUAACGCGUGGUAACCUGCCCUUAGGUUCGGAAUAACUCCCCGAAAGGGGUGCUAAUACCGGAUAAUGUCUUCGGACCAAGGAUUUAUCGCCUUUGGAUGGGCCCGCGUUGGAUUAGCUAGUUGGUAGGGUAAAAGCCUACCAAGGCGACGAUCCAUAGCUGGUCUGAGAGGAUGAUCAGCCACACUGGGACUGAGACACGGCCCAGACUCCUACGGGAGGCAGCAGUGGGGAAUAUUGGACACUGGGCGAAAGCAUGAUCCAGCAAUGCCGCGUGAGUGAUGAAGGCCUUAGGGUUGUAAAGCUCUUUUAACCGGGAUGAUAAUGACAGUACCGGGAGAAUAAGCUCCGGCUAACUCCGUG
rnacentral:rRNA from 1 species